UGUUGGUAUUAAGCACUUGAUUUUCCUCUGCCGACCUCUCCUGAAAGCAACAUUACCGUACCUGAUUCGCAAGAUUCCGAGGCCUUAUGAACGCUCGUUCUACUACCGUUUUGCUUCGUCUCUCUGGCUCUUCCCUCUCCAGAUUCAGGCGCAUCUGGUCCCGCUCCCGAUGCUGAUUCAUUCCAGCUUCAGGCGGAUCUUCGAGGAGUCUUUAGGUAGCUGUUGGCGCUCGCAGCCUGGAGCUCCUCUCUAUCUAUUUCUUUUAUGGUCUUAGUUCAGUAUUUUAAGCUCUGUAGUUACAUUUGAGGAUUUGGUAUUGUUAGAUGCUCGUGACUUGUGACACCCCGGUUUGGGCUGUAUCAGGUUGGAUUUUUUCGCAUUGUUAUCGAUAUUUCCGCUAUGCAGUAUUAUUAAAUCAUGUUUAGACUAUAUUGUGUUGGUUAACUGCUUUAAAAGACGAAUUGGGUUAAACUGG